rnacentral:rRNA from 1 species
UACGUAGGCAGCGAGCGUUGUUCGGAGUUACUGGGCGUAAAGGGUGUGUAGGCGGUUGUUUAAGUUUGGUGUGAAAUCUCCCGGCUCAACUGGGAGGGUGCGCCGAAUACUGAAUGACUUGGAGUGUGGGAGAGGUGAGUGGAAUUCCUGGUGUAGCGGUGAAAUGCGUAGAUAUCAGGAGGAAUACCGGUGGCGAAAGCGACUCUCUGGACGGCAACUGACGCUGAGGCACGAAAGCGUGGGGAGCAAACAGG